UACGUAGGGUGCGAGCGUUGUCCGGAAUUAUUGGGCGUAAAGAGCUUGUAGGCGGUUUGUCGCGUCUGCCGUGAAAGCCCAGGGCUUAACCCUGGGUCUGCGGUGGGUACGGGCAGGCUAGAGUGUGGUAGGGGAGACUGGAAUUCCUGGUGUAGCGGUGAAAUGCGCAGAUAUCAAGAGGAACACCUGAGGUGAAGACGGGUUGCUGGGCCGACACUGACGCUGAGUGCGCGAAAGCCAGGGGAGCAAACGGG
rnacentral:rRNA from 1 species